rnacentral:rRNA from 1 species
UACGAAGGGGGCUAGCGUUGUUCGGAAUUACUGGGCGUAAAGCGCGCGCAGGUGGUCUUUCAAGUCAGUGGUGAAAGCCCGGAGCUCAACUCCGGAAAUGCCAUUGAAACUGUAAGACUUGAGGAUGAGAGAGGUGAGUGGAAUUCCCAGUGUAGAGGUGAAAUUCGUAGAUAUUGGGAAGAACACCGGUGGCGAAGGCGGCUCACUGGCUCAUAUCUGACGCUCAGGCGCGACAGCGUGGGGAUCGAACAGG